rnacentral:lncRNA from 1 species
GGGGAAAACCAAAAGAACCAUCGCAGCCAAAACUCAAUCGCCACCUCCAUUCCAGUCACUUGCAGCUUUUAUUCCAUUGACUUACCAUCUAGAUUGGGAUUUCCUUUACCCUUUGUGCAACAAGAAUGAGCAAUUCUUAUCUUUCAUUGUUGAGCAAGGCAAAUUCCUUGGACUGAUUGGAACAGAGAAAGCAGCUGUUACCAGUAAUGGAGACAGCCGAAGCCGAGGCCGAGUGAGCCAUAUUGAUAGUGAGCUAGUCCUGGGUACGCUUCAACGCAGUCAAGUAGGUGGUAUCCUCGUUCUGGUCCUUCCACACUAAUCUCCAGCUAGCCAGUAGGUCAUCAGAAGUCAUCGUCAAAUCUCGUUCGGCGUAGCAACCCGGCUAAUGUGCAUCGCUAAUGUCUCCUAACACCAUCAAUUGCUGCAAGAUCGAGUGAAUUAGAGUUUCGAGGCUAAUGGCGGAUUAGGGGGGAUUCUGUAUCGUGUUGCUGAUGACGUCGUCAUCGUUAGUGGAAGGCUGAGAUUGAGCUAUUCAUGGAGGGGCGGUAGUGGACCCAUUUUGCUAACACAUCCUCUUCAAUUUUAUUUGGAUUCAUAGCAAAACCCAGUAAGCAAAAACAGCCAAAAAAACUUUGGCUCAAUUAGGGAUGGGAGGAGGAAA